GGGGAUUUAGCUCAGUGGUAGAGCACUUGCCUAGCAAGCGCAAGGCCCUGGGUUCAGUUCCCAGCUCUG
rnacentral:tRNA from 1 species